rnacentral:miRNA from 1 species
UGAGGUAGUUUGCAAUGCUGUC